rnacentral:rRNA from 1 species
GACGAACGCUGGCGGCGUGCUUAACACAUGCAAGUCGAACGGUGAAAGCGGAGCUUGCUCCGCUGGAUCAGUGGCGAACGGGUGAGUAACACGUGGGCAACCUGCCCCUCACUUCGGGAUAACUCCGGGAAACCGGGGCUAAUACCUGAUCUGACCUCCUUGGGCAUCCUUGGAGGUGGACAGUUUUUCGGUGAGGGAUGGGCCCGCGGUCUAUCAGCUUGUUGGUGAGGUAGUGGCUCACCAAGGCGACGACGGGUAGCCGGCCUGAGAGGGCGACCGGCCACACUGGGACUGAGACACGGCCCAGACUCCUACGGGAGGCAGCAGUGGGGAAUAUUGCGCAAUGGGCGAAAGCCUGACGCAGCAACGCCGCGUGCGGGAUGACGGCCUUCGGGUUGUAAACCUCUUUUAGUAGGGAAGAAGCGAAAGUGACGGUACCUGCAGAAAAAGCACCGGCUAACUACGUGCCAGCCGCCGCUGUAA